CCAGCACAGGUAUUCUGGAAUGACUCCCUUACCGGCAUCACAGAUUUCUCCUGGGCCAUUCUAAAUUAUCUUGGGAAGGAAAAAGUGUCCCACCCCAGUCUUUUCUUGGUUUAUACUGAUCCAAAAGGAAAGUGCUAAACUGCAUGUCAGCAUUUUGGAAAGCACAUAAUAAGCAAUUUGCAUGUGCCCAAAGGAAAAAUCUGCCUCCCUGGCCUAAUCCCCUGGAAUCGGCAGGAUUUUCUGUUGCUGCAGUGACACCUGCUGUUGAAAACAAAGUUAGUCAUUUCUCAGAGAAAGCCUCUGUGGGGCAAAGAUUGCUUACAGACAGCCAACAUCUGGGUGUUAAAGCUGAUUUGUAUUGUGAGGGAUAAGUACAGGGCUGAAGCAGAGGAAUUAAAUGAGAGGCAAGGGAAAAGAGAGAGACAGAGAGGAGGGAGAAAAGGAGAAAAUAAAGAGAAAAAGCAGGAGAGAGAAGGAAGAAAAAAGAGGAGAAAAACAGAAAGAAAAUGAAAGUGGGAGAAAAAAGAUGGAAGAAAGGAAAAGAGGAAGGAGGAAAGGAAAAAAGGACAGAAUAAAGGAGAAGAGAGAGUGAAGAAUUUAUUGGAUUCAAUAAAAAGGAAGAAAAAAAAACAACAUUGUUGGCAAGGUAUAGAAAUGUCUGGCUACUAUCUAGGUCUGACAGAGAAGGAUCAAUAACAAAGAGGCCCUUUCAGGGUAAGAUUCUGUUUCAUUGGUUCAGACUGCCAGGAAGGACUUAUCUUGGACCAAAAUUCACACAGCUUCCAUCUUAAAACAAACAAAAAACUCUUUUAGAGCAGAAAUAAUUAAUCAUAAAGUCAAUCAAAAAAUCUUUUAAAAGCCAUUACAAUGGACAAACCCUGUACUGGGCACUGUGGUAGUAGAUAAAAAGUUGAAUAAGACAAAGUUCCUGCCCUCAAGAGGUUUUAUAAACCAAUAAAAGGCAUCAGAUAAAACAGAUCAAUAACAUUUAAAGUAAUAUGUAAUACUGAUGCUGAAAUCGGAAGAAAUGAUUCCUAGUCCUAUCUCAAACAGUUACUAUCCAGGUGAUCUUGGGCAGGUCAUCCAACUGCUACUUGUUUUAGUUUCCUCAACAGUAAAGUGGGGAUAAUAAUAGUACCUAGCACCCAGGGUUUUGAGAAUCAAAGAAGAUAACAGUUGAAAAGUGCUUAGCACAGAGCCUGGCACAUAGUAGGCACUAGAGGGGUGCCAUCUAACUAGUCAUUGUAAUAGGAGGAAGAAGAGAAGAAAGCAGAGAAUGAGGGAUUUGUCAAAUAGAGAAGUAUGAUGAGAUUCAAAAAUGUAAUGAAAGUUCUGAGGAGAAAUCAUUUCUGAUGAGAAGGAUAAGGGAAGUUUUUAAAAAGGAAAUGGCAUUAGAUUUGAGUCUCAAAGUUUUUCAAAAGACUAAUGUGGAGGCAAUAAUUCAUAUAUAGGAAAUAGGUGGAAAAACACCAAAUAUGUUCAGAAUAUUGCAAAUGGUAUAGUUUGGCAAGGAAAUUAAGUGGGGGGGGGAGAAAUAGUAAAAGAUAAGGUACCUUGUUUCUACCAAAUGAGAAAGGUAGAUUGUGUCCUGUCUGUGGAAAACCUUGAAUGCCAGGCUAAGAAUUAUGAGCUAAAAGUCCAAGAUCAAGAAGGAACAAAGUUAGUUACUAUGUUUUACUUGUUUCUUCUGAAGUAGAGCACUCCCCAAUAAAGUCUUUUAAUGCCUCCUCACAGUCUAAAGGUGAUUUUUCUUCCUUAAAGGCUUUAUCAAUGAAGCAUAAGCUCUAGCAGGUUCUGCCCAGCUUAAGUCUUUUGGUAUAGACCCAUUUAUCAGUUGAAUGUCUGUUUCCCCAAAACCCACCUAACAAGUAUGGAGAGGUUUGCCAACAGAUGUUUGGAAACCCCAAAAUUAAUAUUCAAAUUCAAAAAGUGACUCUUAAAGCAACUACCAAGGAAUAGAGAAGUUAGGGUAUGACGAUCAUAUUACUCUUAACAAUGAAAUCACAGAUCUUUUUGUAUGUAUCAAAAGUAAAAGCAGAGAAUUGUGUCAGGUCCCCUACUUAUUAUCCAUUCCAGAAAGUAUUAUGAAAUCAAACAAGCAAGCAAGAAAUUUAAUCCCAAUUCUUUGUGCCUUCUCUACCAAGAGUUAAAAUUUUAAAGCUAUUUUGAUGGUUAUUUCACUUUGACUGGUUUUCUUUAUAAUGUUUGUAAUUUUAAAACAUUUUCCUAAUAUACUUUUAUUCAUUGCCUU